rfam:Asian citrus Psyllid, Diaphorina citri - Florida Strain, whole genome shotgun sequence.
GCCUAGUUAGCUUAGUCUUAGUUGGUAGUGCGUCUGCCUUGUAAGCGCUAGGCCGCGGGUUCGAUUCCCGCCCGGGGCG